rnacentral:rRNA from 1 species
ACUCCAACCCUUGUGAACAUUACCUUCGUCGUUGCUUCGGCGGUAGAGGCACUCUUUCCCGGGGUGUCGACGCCGCCGGAGGGCUUUAAACUCUUGAUUUUGCAGUGUAUCUCUGAGCAUUAAAAAAAAAUAAUCAAAACUUUCAACAACGGAUCUCUUGGUUCUGGCAUCGAUGAAGAACGCAGCGAAAUGCGAUAAGUAAUGUGAAUUGCAGAAUUCAGUGAAUCAUCGAAUCUUUGAACGCACAUUGCGCCCGCCGGUAUUCCGGCGGGCAUGCCUGUUCGAGCGUCAUUCCACCCCUCAAGCACAGCUUGGUGUUGGGGCACCCGGCCGCUUUGCGGAUCCGGGGCCCCCAAAGUGAUCGGCGGGCUCGUCGGAACUCUGAGCGUAGUAGGCCGCGGUAAAACGCGCAUCGCUUGGCAGGGUCUGAAAAACGGGUUCCUAGCCGCUAAACUAUAUGAACUUUUCAAGUGAGUUGACCUCGGAUCAGGUAGGAAUACCCGCUGAACUUAAGCAUAUCAAUAAGGCCGGAGGAA